rnacentral:tRNA from 1 species
GGGGCUGUAGCUCAGUUGGAUAGAGCGUUCGGCUACGAACCGAGAGGUCGGGGGUUCGAAUCCUCCCAGCCCCGCCA